rnacentral:rRNA from 1 species
UACGAAGGGUGCAAGCGUUACUCGGAAUUACUGGGCGUAAAGCGUGCGUAGGUGGUUCGUUAAGUCUGAUGUGAAAGCCCUGGGCUCAACCUGGGAAUGGCAUUGGAAACUGGCGACCUAGAGUGCGGUAGAGGGUAGUGGAAUUCCCGGUGUAGCAGUGAAAUGCGUAGAGAUCCGGAGGAACACCAGUGGCGAAGGCGGCCCCCUGGGCCGCGCCUGACGCUGAGACGCGAAAGCGCGGGGAGCGAACGGG